rfam:Triticum urartu cultivar G1812 contig1226789, whole genome shotgun sequence.
GCAGUACUUUCUCCGUCCAUAAAUACUUGUCGGAGAAAUGAAUGUAUCUAGAUGUAUUUUGGUUCUAGAUACAUCUAUUUUUAUUCAUUUCUUCGACAAGUAUUUCCGGACGGAGGGAGUACAAC